UUGUUGUGGAUUAUUGAGUCAUACAUAAUUUGCGUUAGUUAAAAAUGACCUAUUGAAUGGAAAAGAGGUUCAAAAUCAUUCGAGUUGGAGUUUGAAUAUCAAAACAAUGCUUUUAACAGUGAUACUUUGUGCUGCGUUUGUUAUUUCCGAUGUUUGUGCAAGGGUAAAUACACCACACUUCUGAGUGAUUUUAAUUUUAUCAAUUUUUUGCAGAAGGGCGUAAGCCCAUAAGAACAUUGCAUUCAUUCAAUUGGGAACUUACUGAAUUUGUUUAGUUGCAGUGCCAGCCGCUGUUAGUCCAGAACCAGCUACCGAAAGCGUAGAUAAGUUGUUGGACGAUCUCAAGGUAAUAGAGAAGGAUCGAAAGGCACAUUUAAAAAAGGCGCUCCGAAAACCAAAAUUCAUGGCGGAUCCUAACACGAUGGAAAAACUGUCAGUCUUUUCGAUGGUGGACUCUCUUUUCAUUGAAUAUCACAAUUACUACGAUGCGAUGAAUACGUUGGUUCAUUCUCAUGAAAAAUCGACGGAUUCGCACGAGGUUUUAGCGACUAUUAGAAGCUCCAGAGAGCGCUUGAUUCAACUCUAUAAAGCCAUUACAGCAAAACAAGAAAAACUCCACCGACCCAGUAAAGGACCGGACAGCCACAUGCACUUGUUUACAACUAUAUUCAAAGAUACUCUCAGAAAGAAUGUUGAAAUUGAGGCACAACUGCGCGUUGAAUUUGAAAAUUCCCCGUUCAUAAAACAUGUGAAAAAUAUACCCAACGUGUCCCCAAUAUAACUGAAUCCUACUCAAAAAAACGAGUAGCUGUUGUUACGUAAUUUUAGUGGGUAACAUAAGGCUUCGCACGAAAUCCUCCUCUCCCCAACCUCUUCCCUCUUUUAUUUCUUAAGUGCGUUUUUUCAUGAAAAUAGUUUGAAUUACGGUAUUUUGAUAAUUUAAAAAGAAAAUCAUUGGAAGAUCAUAAUACGACCUACGAAUACGAAAAAACAUCAUAUCAAAAACUGUAAUUCCACCCGUGAAAACAUAAACGCAUUAAAAAGUCGUGAUGCAACUUUUUACUGGUAUAACUUUCCAAAACAAUCAAAAGUAUUCGAUACAUGUUCAUUAGAAAUUCGAGAUGUCAUCGCCCAAAAUUUUUACAAAUUGUCAUUUUGCUAGUUAUUAAUGUAAAAAGACACAUAAAUAUACAUGUACCUAUUUUAUAAUAUGUUUUACUGUGCAAAAAUGUGUAUUAUACUGUAAGAUUGAAAAUACAUAGAUCGCGCUCAAAAUGCAUUUGCUAA